rnacentral:rRNA from 1 species
GCAAGUCGAGCGCAGUCUUUCGGGACCGAGCGGCGGACGGGUUAGUAACGCGUGGGAACAUACCCUUUUCUACGGAAUAGCCAUUGGAAACGAUGAUUAAUACCGUAUACGCCCUUUGGGGGAAAGAUUUAUCGGAGAAGGAUUGGCCCGCGUAAGAUUAGAUAGUUGGUGAGGUAACGGCUCACCAAGUCAACGAUCUUUAGCUGGUUUGAGAGGAUGAUC